rnacentral:rRNA from 1 species
UACGUAGGGGGCAAGCGUUAUCCGGAUUUACUGGGUGUAAAGGGAGCGUAGGUGGCAUGAUAAGUCAGAUGUGAAAGCCCAGGGCUUAACCCUGGGAUUGCAUUUGAAACUGUCAAGCUAGAGUGCAGGAGAGGUAAGUGGAACUCCUAGUGUAGCGGUGAAAUGCGUAGCUAUUAGGAGGAACACCAGUGGCGAAGGCGGCUUACUGGACUGUAACUGACACUGAGGCUCGAAAGCGUGGGGAGCAAACAGG